rnacentral:rRNA from 1 species
UGAUUUCUUCGGAAUGAAACCAGAUAUGACUUAGUGGCGGACGGGUGAGUAACGCGUGAGCAAUCUGCCUUCGGGUACGGGAUAACAACCGGAAACAGUUGCUAAUACCGUAUAAUGCAUCGACCCCGCAUGGGGAUGAUGCCAAAGAUUUAUUGCCCGGAGAUGAGCUCGCGUCCGAUUAGACAGUUGGCGGGGUAACGGCCCACCAAAUCAACGAUCGGUAGCCGGACUGAGAGGUUGAACGGCCACAUUGGAACUGAGAACGGUCCAGACUCC